CUUUCGGUAUGAACCGCUCAAACGUAAGUUAGCACUUAGGUAGGUUUGAUAUGAAUCUGGCAGGAAAGAACAUACAAUCAUGACGACGAUGCCGUAGAGUGAUUUGUCAAUGGAUCUGGAGCAUUGAUUGACGAAGCUUGGAUAACUCGUCGUUAUACUGCGCCUCUGUUGCAACUCUGCCAAUUGUUGUCAUUGAUUUCUGGAGAAACUCUUGCUCACUCUGAUCAAGCCCGUUUUUCCACAAUCUGACCCAACGCUGGAUUGCCUGCUGACGGCUGAUAUAUGCAAUAACACCAGGAAAGCACGUUUCGAUCGCCCCAAUUUCAGCGGCUGAAAAAUCCACCAUAAAGUAUUUUGGACUCCAGUCCCGGUUCCAUCCUCGCAAGAUCCCCAAGGCUUCGGAUAUGGAAAUUUCGUCCUCGUGUUGACACAUAAACUCAGCAACUACUUUGUAGCCAACGUUGGUGUUUACGCACAAGAAGAACAACGGCAUGGCAUAUUUCGUGGUUUUGUACGUCGCGUCAAGUAGGACAAGAUCGCUUCCAUAUUUCAGAAGAAGUUUUCGUUGCCACUCUUCUUGAUGAACAAAAAGAAAAUUAUCGCUGUCGUUAGUGGGCACGCUGGCACCAAAAUAGUUCGGUUCGCCCUCUUGGGUUCGCAGGAAGAAUCUUGUACUUGGCGAAGACUUUUUUAAAUCAGUUAUCUUUCGAAGAAGAGACUCUUGGUCAUCGUUGCAGUAUUUUCCAGCGGCAAUAGCUUUUGAAAUAUGAUUUCGUAAGUCCUUGGAACUCGGAUAGUAUCUGCGAUUUGUUUUCCUUGGCCAUGUGUGUUUCGGAGCACCAGAAAAUAGCUCUUUUUCAUUAAAAUCAAAUUUGAUCAAUUACAUCGCGAAUUGCAUCAUAUCUGUUGUUACUGUUAUAGCAAGACGUAUUUUGAGAGUAAAUUGUCAAACACCAAGCCCAAGGCGUUUCUCAGAAAUCUGAAGUCUUCAUGGUCCAUGUCUUUGUCUGGUUGUCAUUUUAGGACUUCGUAACUCGUAAGAGGCAUACAUGAAGUACCUCAUCGUCUUAAAUUCAACAUGGCGUUUUUUAAGUUCUCUUCGCUGGUAAAUGUAAAGGAUUUCAAAAAGGAAAUGACCUCAACACUUGAUGUUGAGGAUAUUAGUCUUGAAGAAAAUAUUAGAGAUCGAUCAAAACCUUUGGAGAAUAUAACCCAGGACACCUUACAAGAAGUUGAAGAUGUUUGUAGCGUGUUACCUGAAUCCAGAAAUUCUCGCUGAGCAUCAUUCAAACAAAAGAAUUAUAUCAUCCUUUCAGAACAGCUGCAAAAGGCGAAAGCAGCUGUCACCGGUCAUAAAAUAGAUAGACAAGAAGUUGUCCUUUCUGGAGCACUAUAUCAUCCCAUGAAGGUAAUUAAUCAAUACUAUUUCAAGAAUUAUAAAGUAUUUCAUAUUUAUAUGUAUGCAUAAUUUUUUCUCUGUCUUAAUAUUGUUUCGAAAAAUUCAAGAAUUUUUGGUACUUGGAAGAGAGGUAGGACAUAGCUAUUGCUAAAACGUAAUUAGCAUUGUUUUCAUGCAUAUUGUACAGUACAUGUGGAAUGUUACACGAUAUUUUUGCAGUUUUGGCAUGCAGUUUUGUUCCUCACUCAAGGUAACUAAAAUCUUUUGAUUUAAGGUCCGUUCACACUAUCCAUUAUGUCGGAUCCAAUUCACUUCUUACGUAUGGAAUGUGGUUUGUUAUCGAUAAAACAGUACUGCAUGCAUUGGUUUUAGUUGAU